GUUAACAACUUGUAACAAGCUUGAUGACAUUAUCAGACUUGUUGCAAGGUUGUUCCAAUAAGUCCGAUACAGUCAUGAUAUACCAAUAUUGUAACAUUCUUGUUAUAUCAUGACUGUAUCAGACUUGUUAGAACAACCUUGCAACAAGUCUGAUAAUGCCAUCAAGCUUGUUACAAGUUGUUAAC